CCUAAAGGAGUCCGUAAAAAGAAUAUUUCAGAGCCUUUUCACUAACAACCUCGCCAUCGGGAUGAACUGGACAGGGUCGGGACAGAAGGUGUCCUUCAACAACCUCCACCUGAAGAGAGUCAUCCACAGAGCGGUAAGGAAGAACCCUGCAACAAGGGAGACAACCGAAGAGGCUCUCCAGAAAGAAGUGAGCCGAUUCCUAAAGGGGGCAUCAGACCGAGAGGGGGGAAGAAGACAGCGCCAGAGGCAGGGGGAGCCCAGAGCAGAAAAUUGAAAAGUUACAAUAAACAA